CCUACGGGAGGCAGCAGUGAGGAAUAUUGGACAAUGGGCGCAAGCCUGAUCCAGCCAUGCCGCGUGCAGGAUGACGGUCCUAUGGAUUGUAAACUGCUUUUAUACGGGAAGAAACCCUGGCUCGUGAGCCAGAUUGACGGUACCGUAAGAAUAAGGAUCGGCUAACUCCGUGCCAGCAGCCGCGGUAAUACGGAGGAUCCAAGCGUUAUCCGGAAUCAUUGGGUUUAAAGGGUCCGUAGGCGGUUUAAUAAGUCAGUGGUGAAAGCCCAUCGCUCAACGGUGGAACGGCCAUUGAUACUGUUAGACUUGAAUUAUUAGGAAGUAACUAGAAUAUGUAGUGUAGCGGUGAAAUGCUUAGAGAUUACAUGGAAUACCAAUUGCGAAGGCAGGUUACUACUAAUUGAUUGACGCUGAUGGACGAAAGCGUGGGUAGCGAACAGGAUUAGAUACCCUGGUAGUCCACGCCGUAAACGAUGGAUACUAGCUGUUGGGAGUAAUCUCAGUGGCUAAGCGAAAGUGAUAAGUAUCCCACCUGGGGAGUACGUUCGCAAGAAUGAAACUCAAAUGAAUUGACGGNUGAGAGNGCGAGACGACGACGAGGAGGAGG
rnacentral:rRNA from 1 species